GUGGGGAAUCUUGCACAAUGGGGGAAACCCUGAUGCAGCGACGCCGCGUGAGUGAUGAAGCCCUUCGGGGUGUAAAGCUCUUUCGACAGGGACGAUAAUGACGGUACCUGGAGAAGAAGCUGCGGCUAACUACGUGCCAGCAGCCGCGGUAAUACGUAGGCAGCAAACGUUGUUCGGAGUUACUGGGCGUAAAGAGUGCGUAGGCGGUUCGCCAAGUUUGGUGUGAAAUCUCCCGGCUUAACUGGGAGGGUGCGCCGAAAACUGGCGAGCUUGAGUGUGGGAGAGGGAAGCGGAAUUCCUGGUGUAGCGGUGAAAUGCGUAGAUAUCAGGAGGAACACCGGUGGUGUAGACGGCUUCCUGGACCACAACUGACGCUGAGGCACGAAAGCGUGGGUAGCAAACAGGAUUAGAAACCCUAGUAGUCC
rnacentral:rRNA from 1 species